AGCUUUAAGUUUUAUUUAAAGUGAGACCUGCCCAGUGCUAAUUAGUAAACGGCCGCAGUACCUUGACUGUGCUAAGGUAGCAUAAUCAGUUGGCUUUUAAAUGGAGUCGGGAAUGAAUGGAUUAAUAGGGUUAAGCUGUCUCUACUAUAUUAAAUUGAACUUACUUAUUAGGUGAAAAUGCCUAAAUUGUAAAAGAAAAAAGACGAGAAGACCCUAGGAGUUUUAACUAGAUGCUAUUUAUUAUAGUUAAUGUUUUUGUUGGGGCGACAUUGGAACAAUUGUAUUUAACUUCCUUUAUGUUUAUAGGCCGACUUUGUAUGUAAAUUUAAACUACCCUAGGGAUAACAGCGUAAUUCUUUUUGAGCUUGCGACCUCGAUGUUGGACUAGGAAUUUGGUGGGCUAGCCGCCUA
rnacentral:rRNA from 1 species